UAUAAUUUGGCAUAUCUAUGCAUCAAUCUCUCUUUCAUAACAAUGUUCACUGACAUGUGCUGCAGAAGAUGUUCUCACUUUAUGGGACCGAGACACAAAUGUUCUUGUAGCUGUAAUUGGAGAUACUCUUACAGUGAUUGUCUGAAUAUCAUUAUCUAAUUGUGUUGUGUGUGUAAAGUAGACAUUUGACGUGGAUCAUUGCUGAAAAAUGAUUGAUGGUUAUCAUACACAUUAAUUUGACGUGGAAGCUUACUAAAAGAGAUGAGGCCUUGGUGCAAAGCAAGAGUGCCAUAGAAAAAGUUGAAUUCUUGAAGAAACGAUGACCAAGAAAACGAGGCGAUUGAUUGAUAAACAGCCCGAUGGCAGUAGUGGAGGUUAUUCGGGUGGGAUCCAUGAUCUUGAAACACAACUCAAGCUUUAUGGCUCUUGUAUCUUCUUGGAAGAAUGGCGAUACAAUGCCUUACAUAUUUGAUACAGUAAUACUAUGGCCUUUUGUUUUCUAGCGGAUCAUAUGUGCUUCCUUUUAUGUAUUUAUUUAUUAUUUAUUUUUAUAAAUCAAGUUACAUUCAAUUUUAGCCUUGAACAAUUCUUCCAUGGGAUUUUCAAUGAAUAGGAUUAUAAAAUAUAGAGGCAGAUUGAGCUUGCAAAAAUGUUGUUGGCGGAGGGACAAAGUCAUCUUUUUAUACAUUGGCCUGAACAAGGUGUUGAUGAUGAAGAAAAGAAAAGUUUCUUUGAUUAGGUUCAUUUUCAUGGCACUUUUUUUUUUGUUAUUAUUAUUUUGGUUCUUACGAGUACAAGAACCUUGUAUUCCAUGCAUUCUCAGUAUAUUUUUACAACUCAGCUGCUGUAUCCUAGAAAUAUUAAAUGGUCUCUGUUGAUUUCCAAGUCCAAGCAGCAAAAGUUUAACAUCGGUUUCAACUUUUAACCUUCCA